GUUGAACGCUGGCGGCGCGCCUAACACAUGCAAGUCGAACGGAGUGGCGAACGGCUGAGUAAGACGUGGGCAACCUGCCCUCCUCUUGGGGAUCGCCCAGGGAAACCGGGAAAAUACCCGAUAGAGAAGGAUGGCCCGCGGCCUGUUAGCUUGUUGGUGGGGGAGAGGCCUACCAAGGCAAUGAUGGGUAGCUGGGAUGAGAGACCGACCAGCCAGAAUGGGACUGAGACACGGCCCAGACGCGUACGGGAGGCAGCGGUGGGGAAUCUUGCACAGUGGGCGAACGCCUGAUGCAGCGACGCCGCGUGCGGUACGAAGGCCUUCGGGUUGUAAACCGCUUUCAGCAGGGACGCGGUACCUGCAGAAGAAGCCCCGGCUAACUACGUGCCAGCCGCCGCGGUAAUAC
rnacentral:rRNA from 1 species